rnacentral:rRNA from 1 species
GACGAACGCUGGCGGCAUGCCUAAUACAUGCAAGUCGAGCGAACAGAUGAAGUGCUUGCACUUCUGGCGUUAGCGGCGAACGGGUGAGUAACACGUAAGGAAUCUACCUAUAAGCGGGGGAUAACAUUCGGAAACGGGUGCUAAUACCGCAUAAUAUCUUCUUCCGCAUGGAAGGAGAUUGAAAGACGGCUCUGCUGUCACUUAUAGAUGACCUUGCGGUGCAUUAGUUAGUUGGUGGGGUAACGGCCUACCAAGACGAUGAUGCAUAGCCGACCUGAGAGGGUGAUCGGCCACAUUGGGACUGAGACACGGCCCAAACUCCUACGGGAGGCAGCAGUAGGGAAUCUUCCGCAACGGGCGAAAGCCUGACGGAGCAAUGCCGCGUGAGUGAAGAAGGCCUUCGGGUCGUAAAACUCUGUUAUAAGAGAAGAACAAAUUGUAGAGUAACUGCUACAGUCUUGACGGUAUCUUAUCAGAAAGCCACGGCUAACUACGUGCCAGCCGCCGCCGUAA